CUCAGUUCGGAUCGGAGUCUGCAACCCGACUCCGUGAAGCUGGAUUCGCUAGUAAUCGCGCAUCAGCCAUGGCGCGGUGAAUACGUUCCCGGGCCUUGUACACACCGCCCGUCAAGCCAUGGAAGCCGGGAGUGCCUGAAGUAUGCAACCGCAAGGAGCGUCCUAAGGUAAAACCGGUGACUGGGGCUAAGUCGUAACAAGGUAAC
rnacentral:rRNA from 1 species